CGAAUUCAUCUGAAGGAUGGAGUGCCUUCGGGAGCGUGGAGACAGGUGGUGCGAUGGUUGUCGUCAGCUCGUGUCGUGAGAUGUUGGGUUAAGUCCCGCAACGAGCGCAACCCUUGCUAUUAGUUGCUAACAGGUAGAGCUGAGCACUCUAAUGGGACUGCCGGUGACAAGCCGGAGGAAGUGGGGAUGACGUCAAAUCAUCAUGCCCUUUAUGACCUGGGCUACACACGUGCUACAGUGGAUGGUGCAGAGAGCAGCGAGGCAGCGAUGUGGAGCGAAUCUCAAAAAGCCAUUCUCAGUUCGGAUUGGAGUCUGCAACUCGACUCCAUGAAGUCGGAAUCGCUAGUAAUCGCGAAUCAGCAUGUCGCGGUGAAUGCGUUCCCGGGCCUU
rnacentral:rRNA from 1 species